rnacentral:rRNA from 1 species
GAUGAACGCUGGCGGCGUGCCUAAUACAUGCAAGUCGAGCGAACAGACGAUGCUCUUGCUCCUCUCACGUUAGCCGCGCACGUGUGAGUAACACGUGGAUAACCUCCCUAUAAUACUGGGAUCACUUCGGGAAACCGGCUCUAAUACCGUAUAAUAUCUUGAUCCGCAUUGUUCAAUAGUGAAAUACGGUUUUUCUGUCACUUAUAGCUGCUUCUGGGCUGCAUUAGCUAGUUGGUACGGUAAUGGCUUACCAAGGCGACCAUGCGUAGCCGAACUGAGAGGGUGAUAGGCCACACGGGAGGUGAGACACGGUCAAGACUCCUACGAGAGGCAGCAGUAGGGAAUCGGACGCAAUAGGCGAAAGCAUGACGGAGCAACGGGACGUGAGUGACGGAGGUCUUCGGAGCGUGAAACUCUGUUAUUAGGGAAGAACAAAUGUGGAAGUAAAUAUGCACGUAUUGACGGUAACUAAUAAGAAAGCCACGGCUAACUACGUG